GACGAACGCUGGCGGCGUGCUUAACACAUGCAAGUCGAACGCUGAAGCUUGGUGCUUGCACUGGGUGGAUGAGUGGCGAACGGGUGAGUAAUACGUGAGUAACCUGCCCUUGACUCUGGGAUAAGCCUGGGAAACUGGGUCUAAUACUGGAUACGACAUGUCACCGCAUGGUGGUGUGUGGAAAGGGUUUUACUGGUUUUGGAUGGGCUUACGGCCUAUCAGCUUGUUGGUGGGGUAAUGGCUCACCAAGGCGACGACGGGUAGCCGGCCUGAGAGGGUGACCGGCCACACUGGGACUGAGACACGGCCCAGACUCCUACGGGAGGCAGCAGUGGGGAAUAUUGCACAAUGGGCGAAAGCCUGAUGCAGCGACGCCGCGUGAGGGAUGACGGCCUUCGGGUUGUAAACCUCUUUCAGCACGGAAGAAGCGAAAGUGACGGUACGUGCAGAAGAAGCGCCGGCUAACUACGUG
rnacentral:rRNA from 1 species